AUACGUAGGGGGCGAGCGUUGUCCGGAAUGAUUGGGCGUAAAGGGCGCGUAGGCGGCCUGUUAAGUCUGGAGUGAAAGUCCUGUUUUCAAGAUGGGAAUUGCUUUGGAUACUGAUGGGCUUGAGUGGAGGAGAGGUUAUCGGAAUUCCCGGUGUAGCGGUGAAAUGCGUAGAGAUCGGGAGGAACACCAGUGGCGAAGGCGGGUAACUGGACUGCAACUGACGCUGAGGCGCGAAAGUGUGGGGAGCAAACAGGAUUAGAUACCCUGGUAGUCCACACUGUAAACGAUGAAUGCUAGGUGUAAGAGGUAUCGACCCCUUUUGUGCCGGAGUUAACACAAUAAGCAUUCCGCCUGGGGAGUACGGCCGCAAGGUUGAAACUCAAAUGAAUUGACGGGG
rnacentral:rRNA from 1 species